UCGAUCUCAUCGCUAAAAAUUAAUACUAAAAAAAUUAUUCAAGUCUCGAUAACUUAAACAAAGAAAAAAAAUCUGCAAAGAGCGUCGCGCAUUCCCCUUUUUCUUCAAGCAAGUGUUACCCGUGCCGGAACGAAUCAGCGACGCCUCAAAAAAAUUAGAUACGCGUUCUGACUCUCGCAUCAUCCGUGCGCGUGCGCACGAAGGAAGGAAGUUUCGCGCACCAGCUUUCUCCCUGCAAUUAUCCUCACAUCCGUUUCCAACCUUCCAUUGUAUUGAGCGCUAACGGAGCCGGUUCAACGACCUCACCGCGCGCGGCAGACAACUCGCGUUUUUCAAAACGGGCUCGGAUCUCGAGAACAACCGAUUCGCGUCUGAGCGAUAAUCGAGACCAAUUAACGGAGUAAGAGAUCUCACUCGGUGCAGAUUUUCGCAUUUCGUCCUUAAAGCGAUUGGUCGAUUCGCGAUGCUGUGAGACGACGAGUCUGCGGCAUCGCGCAAUUAAUUAUUCAUGCCAUCGAUCCUAGGAAAGUAUGAGCAAUUGAACACCAAUUUUGAAAAUCGAUUUGCUAAAACUUGAUUGUUUUUUUUUUCUUUCAGAACCGAUAUAAAUCAGUGAAAGAGAGACACGAGUAUCAGACCACAGCGGAGUAAUCAUUAAUUUCAAAUCUCCCUGAGAAGGCAACAAUUUCGAAAAUUUUCAUAAACGAGAUCUCUCCGGGUGUCCCGGGUUGCGCGUCUGAUGCAACACUGUGAAUUUGCAAAUAACAGGAGAAGACGUUAAUUACAAAACUGCCGGUGCGCCGCAAGCGCGCAAUGCAUCUCCGCUUCAUCCCGGGACGUGGUUCAAAGACCUCGACGGUAUAUUUCUGGAAAUCGACGUGCGUGCAUCUCUCCGACGUAUAAAAGGUUACUCGUAAAUAACAAAUUGCCGGGCGAUCAAAAUCCAAUUUCGUCAUAUCGCGCUACUCUCUCUCUGGCGUCGCUUCUCUUCCAAAUCGUUUUAUUUUUUUUGUGAGAAAUCAUCCUUGAAAAAAUCUCGCGAUCUCCGUGUGUGCUCCUUUACCCGCGUGAAAGUCACCGUAAAACCGCGAGAAGUCCGCCUACCUACUCAAAGUACAUACGUCCCACAUGGGUGUAUUAAGCGUGACCAUAUAUGAACAUCGUCGUUCGAAAGCUAAGAUCUCUCGCCCAACCCUAUCUGUUUUCCCCUCUCCGUCUCCACUCCGCCUUCAUCGCGCGCGUCCACAGCUUAGCCGCAAUAUAUGUAUGUUAAUAGCCAGAUAUGAGUCACCAAUGUCACCGCUAUAUAUAGAGAUGACAGUAAAACCGCGACAUGGCCGUGCAAUUAACAUAAGCAGCGAUCAUUCUCGUCCAUCGCGCGGUGAUUUGUGUUUGACCUCUUUUUUUAUUUUUUUGCCCCCCGCUAGGUCUGACAUUUCGAUCGCCAGCAGCCGUACAGAUUAUGUCGACUGGCUCGCGUUGGCUCGAGCCGGAAGAAGCGCGAAAGAGAGACAAGUACCGUUAUUCUAAAUGCAUGCACGCGGUGCGUGCGACGAUGUUGAAUGCGCGUUGUUGCGUAACCACCAACGAACGGACAUAGAUGCACAAUUGGACCGCGAGCAGUCCCGAGGGUCUUUUGCUGGCUCUACCAUUGACGGACCACAUUCCCGUUUGUGAUAGGAAAGAGACGCGUAGCAAAGAGGAAGAUUACUUCGCAUUGUUGCGGUAGACGAAACGGAGCCUCUCGGAUCCGACGGGAUCGAUACACCUGGCUAUAUUCAGAGAGAGAGAGAGAGAGGGUCGCACGCAGGCAACGAAACGGCCGCCGCGAAGUGAUGCGAAGGAAAACGGCGAGAGGAUAUCGCCGACUUCCUUUAUUUGGGAACGCGUUGCCGUUGCUACGUUGCGAGACCUGGUGUCCUUGGACUCGCUGAAUGAGUACACUCGUGUAAUCGUUACACAACACAAAAAGCUAGUAAUAAAAUUUAUAAAUUUACACGUACGUAUUAUUACAAAAUUUUUUACUCUCUUUGAAAACGCGCUCAGUCGGAGGAUAAAAGUUUUUUCGAAUAAAUUUCGCGAAGAUGCGAUCUCUUCGGAAUAUUCAAUUGCCAUCGAGUUGCUCAACUCGAAAAUCAAGUAAACAAUUACAUUUAUCACUAAUUGUUAUCGCAAAACUCUCAUUAGAUAACAAACGGGAAAAAUAAGACGUAACAAAAUAAUCGCAACAUUCUUGUUUUUUUUUUUUUUUACGUUCUUGUUUUUUUUUAUUCGACAUAAUUCCUUCUUAAGUAGAAUAAAGCCGUUGAACACGUAGAUGAAAAAAGAAGUCUCGACGUUUAUAUAUACUCUAACAUCACGUCCAAUCGAUUGAGAUAGACAACUCGCGAGAAACGGACGUUGACUUGGCCGCGGCAGCUUCAAAACUUACGGAAGCGUAACGACGAAUGGUUUUAAGUCACCAUUUUCACGAUCCUUUUUAUCGGAUUACCCCGAAGAAUAUUAUAACAAAUUUGUUCAUUUCCCGAGAUGUGAUUACUAUAGAAGUAGAAUUUUUUUAAUACCGCGUUUACAAAUUAAACUUUUCAUAUGUAAAUUUUGGGAAAGCGACAUUCUUCAAGACACAAAAAAUCAAUUUUGUUCCAAACAAAUUCCAUAUUAUAUACAUACAUCAGUAAUUUAUUUUACAAAAAAAAGCGUCUAGCCAUAUCGAACCAUCUUUUAUUCUUGGACGUGUAAAAUAUAAAAAUAAUAUUGAAAGAAUAUAUCGGAGAGAACGUGUCAAUAAACUGAUAAACACAUCAGAAAAUAACUUUAUUAACAACGACUCUUUACACAAGAGUCUGAUUCAUACGAUUAACGAGAGAUCGGACGUCGGACGUAUAUCGACACGCGAUAAUGCAAAGCCACGCACACACACACACACACACACAGACACAUACAAUCGUCAGUCAAGCGUCCGAGCGCGCGCGCGUUGGAGCAUAACGUAAAAAUUUUAAAGUAUAACCGCCAUACGACGGACGCGCGUAUAGCGUGAUCGCGACGCCGCACGAUCAUCGCAGGAAUUCCAUCUGCCUUUAAGCAGCGCGCACACCGAAUGUGAACGCGUUCCAACAAAACUGACGCGCAAAUGCGACGAAAUUUUAUCAAAUUGAAACUGUAAAAAGAUCAAUCGCCGCAUUAACUGCCGUAUUCGGCACAGAAAAUUCGAUCUAUUUGUUUUUUUGCGCAAUAGUUUUUUUGUCAUUUAGGUGCGUACGCGCCUUUAGGGUCUUGCCGAACGCAUCAGUGUAAUAUGAAAUUGCGACGAAAAACGACGUCGCGGAGAAAGAUAAAAAAGAGACGAUCGACUACGUACAGCAAAAACUAAAUAAGUUGGUGAACAUAUAUCGCACGUAUAUAAAAAAAAUAUAUAUGACAAAAUACAUAAAAAAAAAAAAUUGAAUAGAAUUUACUACAUUUUCUACUUCCGUUAAUUUUUCCAAUAGAACGAGAAAUCGAGUCCACUUGGGGAUCGACAUUUGAGAGAAUUGCAACGAGAAAAAAAAGCAAAGGCCGAGCAUAGAAGCAUUCGCCGGUAAGAGAGAGAGAGAGAGAGAGAGAAACGAGAUGUGCGCGCGCAACCGGUCGAUGGUCCCCGCGUACACACAGACGAUGAUCUCUCGUCGUUGCGAGAUAUUGGGCCACACCCAGCCUCCGAUCUUUCCCAGGAAGAUUGAACGAAUUUAGCAAAUUUUCGCGAACGCAACCUUUCUUCUUCGUCAAACUGCGCAUUAAAAGCGCACCUGUUAUGUCGCGAUCACCGGUUUCGCGAUCGAUGAGAACAUGACGUGGUGCAUAGAAAAUUACGCACCUAAGAUGGCCGACGCUUGGCGACGACGCCUCGUAGAGGAACGCGGUAGGUAACGAGCAAAGAAAAGACCAAGGAGGGGAAAAAAGACCGUUAGGGCUUUGCCGGCCGGCCGGCCGGCGAGCUUCUGUCGCCAUGACGGGUCUUCGACCGUCAUGUCGUCCGGGAGAGAGUCGAAAGGAACAAAAUUUAUUUGCGCGCAUUCCGAGCCCCAGAAAAAUUGCAGCACGUUUUCCGAUUCACAACCAACAGUCUCUCUCGAAUAUCGACAGACCUGAAACUCGUGGAACGGAAACUUGAGUGAUAGAAAUGGCAUUUUGGUACCGGCCAAAAGCCCAGAAACCGGACUACUACUCUUCUCCUCCUCACUCCACUCCUUCCCCCUUCCCCACCCCCGCAUUCCUCGCGUUGCUUUGCAAUCAGAAAUCGAUUUUUACGAAAUUUUCAGAUUAAUCUCAGACACGGGAGGAAAGGAGAGACGGGAACGGAGAAUCGAGACACAAGGUCCAAGGAAUUGCGAUAGAAUUUUCUCGCUCGGACGAACUACUUUGCGAACAAAGGAACGCCGCGAGAUGAUAAAUCGUUUCAGCGAAAAGCAAU